rnacentral:tRNA from 1 species
GUUAGUAUAGUUUAAAAAAAACAUUAGAUUGUGAUUCUUAAAAUAGAGGUUAAAGCCCUCUUACUAGCC